UAUUGGAACCCUUCCCUCCUUCCAUUAAACUGUGUUACAGCAGGGACAGACUUAUUUAUCUAGGUAUUGGAACCCUUCCCUCCUUCCAUUAAACUGUGUUACAGCAGGGACAGACUUAUUUAUCUAGGUAUUGGAACCCUUCCCUCCUUCCAUUAAACUGUGUUACAGUAGGGACAGACUUAUUUAUCUAGGUAUUGGAACCCUUCCCUCCUUCCAUUAAACUGUGUUACAGCAGGGACAGACUUAUUUAUCUAGGUAUUGGAACCCUUCCCUCCUUCCAUUAAACUGUGUUACAGCAGGGACAGACUUAUUUAUCUAGGUAUUGGAACCCUUCCCUCCUUCCAUUAAACUGUGUUACAGCAGGGACAGACUUAUUUAUCUAGGUAUUGGAACCCUUCCCUCCUUCCAUUAAACUGUGUUACAGCAGGGACAGACUUAUUUAUCUAGGUAUUGGAACCCUUCCCUCCUUCCAUUAAACUGUGUUACAGUAGGGACAGACUUAUUUAUCUAGGUAUUGGAACCCUUCCCUCCUUCCAUUAAACUGUGUUACAGUAGGGACAGACUUAUUUAUCUAGGUAUUGGAACCCUUCCCUCCUUCCAUUAAACUGUGUUACAGCAGGGACAGACUUAUUAAUCUAGGUAUUGGAACCCUUCCCUCCUUCCAUUAUACUGUGUUACAGCAGGGACAGACUUAUUUAUCUAGGUAUUGGAACGGGGCCCUGUACCUGGUCAACUUGACUCAACCCUAUCUGCACUCUGGGGGGGUUUGGGGGGCUGUAAUAUUUACACCAUGU